UGGGCCUGAUAAGGUGGUUCUUGCCCACCGGGGAGGAGCCUGGGGCUCCUGUGUGGUGAGGGGGCUCUGGGGAAGGCCCUAGCUGAUGAGGAGAGGCUUUGCUGGGUUCUGUGGGGGACCCUGGGGGCUGCUGAAAUGAGAGUGGAAUGAAGAUCUGAAGGAGACCAGACUGAAGGAUGUAUUUGAUCACCAAGAGUUAAUUAUUAAAGAGGGAAAGGAACAUUCAUUUCAAAAGCAGAUGGUUUUCUACAUUCACAGUAAACUGGCAGCAAGGCAGUUUUCCUCCAGCUCUGUGGUCCUUUAUCAAUAUGCAGCUAAGUAUCAAAUGAAAAUAAAUAAUGGAAAGAACAUUGCAUUAAUUUUUUCCCCCUCCAUGAGAGAAUAAUAUGGCCUUGUCUUACCAGUCACCAAAGGAAAGAAGACAAAGAGGUUAAAGUUUCGGGAUUUAUUUCUGGAUCUGCAUGGUUUACUGAUUUACAUGCCAUGGAGCAUCUGCUCGUCAAAUUACAGGUUGUAUCAGUCCUCUGAGCAUCACUGAACGUUUCAAGACACGUUGUUUAUGAAGCAUGAUCCCAGCAGAUCCUCCACAAGAACAAAAAGUGGCAUGCAGGUCUCAAAGGGAAGAGAAGAGACCCAGAAAGGUGCUAACAAGGACAUCGUAAUAAGACAACACAAUAUUAACAGAGGAUGGAGCAGUGAAACAGAAGACUGAAGAUGGAAGAUAGCAACACUGCAAAAAGGAGAAAAAGAAAUACAGAUCCAGCUUCGUGCCUGCCUUUGGUACAGAGGUGAUAAGAGAUGAUGAGUGAGGAGUGGCUGCAGCCAAGCAGGAUGCGGGGUGUGCGCAGGGAGUGCAGUACCAGCAGCCGUCACCCAUCUGUCCCCAUGUCCUGGGGCGAUGGCAGAGAACAUGCAAUCAGCACAUCCCUAGGCCAAUUAUAAAUCAUAAAAUAUCACCAUCAAAUAACAGAGAAUCGGUUGGAAGGGAGCCGUGGAGGACUCAGGAUCAGACCUGACUCUGGCCCAGAGCAGGGCCGGCCUCGGCGCUGGGUGAGCUCGGGCCAGGUUUCUCAGGGCCUUGUCCGUUCAGGUUUGGAACAUCUCCAGGACCCCACAGCCUCCGUGGACAGCCUGCUUGUGCUUCGUUUUCUCCACUGUAAAAUCUUGCCAGGUGUCAAAUGCCCCUCUCAGAACAUCCUGGCUUUCUGAUCAGUGCUGAGGUAGGCGUGGCAGCUCCCGACACCCAGUCUUUGAACCUCACGAAUGCAAUUAAAAAGCACGUAUUUUCAGUCUUUCCAUUUCCUCCAGGCAUUAUGAGUUUGAAGACAACCUUUUGCAGAAUUUAUGAUCUCUAUUUGUGAUUCAGAGCUAUUCAUUCAAUUAUAUGUGCCUGGCUUUGUAGGAGUGCCAGGAGCUUAAAGACAUCUGUUUCUUAGGCUUGCUACCACUGCCUUCCCCCAGGAUGCUUUACCUGGUAAUAGGAUUUAUUCUAUUUCUCUCAUGCAGUCCCCUCGUUAAAGUACACAGGGACAUCAGCCAUGCAAAAUGCACAUUACACCUCCCUAAAUUGGUAUAAAUUCUUAUUCUACAGGAAUGCCAAAAGGCCAGGAAAGGAUGUGUGAGUUCUCUUGCACUGAGGACUACAUACAUACAGUCCAGAUUGGCUUACAUGAGAAUUUAAGACGGUUAAAAGAAGGCAAAGAAGGUUAAUGGAAGGACUGGAGAAGCAACGUAAACACUGCUGGCCAUAAACUCUCACUGAAUUGCAGUGCACUUAUUAUAUCAACAUAUUGUUACUGCUCUAUUAUUUGUAUGCUUUAUGUAUGUGGAUAAAUAUUUAUGAGUAUUUCUCAUUUUCAGUUUCAUUCUAGGAAUUGUUAUGACUGAAUAAGCACCUCUGUGUAUGUCGUCUUCAGAAGGGCUGUCAUCAGGAGACUGCAGCAGCUCUCUGGGCUGAUCCAGGGACUGGGCUGAUCCAGGGACUCAUUGUAAUUCCCAGCUCAUAGCACUUGAAGGAUCAAUAUCAUUAUUGUUAAUGGUCAUUGCAUGCAUGAUUCAAGAUGAAAACAGCUGCCAAAUGUUGAAUCACACUCAGACAAACCAUCUCAGUGCUGUGCCGUGGCAGCACGUUCCCAGCUAAGCGUGAGUACAUGGUGUGUCAGCCCUGCUGUCCGAAUUAUGGGGACACACGCCACACUGACGUGACAGGCUGUUUCCACAAACUGUUUUCAGAUUGUAGCUUUAUUUCUGACUAUGGGAAACAGUACAGCCAAGGGUCAGUGGAAGAAGUAUUAUCCUUUCAUAAAAUUGUAUAGUUUCUUGCUUUGAAUUGUUGUGUAUCAGGGAUACGCAAAGACAUUCAGGUGCCCAGGAGUACCAAUGAAUGUCUUGGGAUUUAGGUAUGCAGCCCUGUAUUUAUACUUUGCGUGUUUUGAAAUGCAUACUGCUAUUUCAAAAUUUGGCUCUUGAACAUUGCAUUGCAAUUUAAAAUAUGUGGUCUGACUUUAAUAGAUAUAAAGAGUUCAUGUAAAGAUAAUUUUUUUCUUAAAAAUACAUUUGCCCUUAUUCAGUACAGUUGACAGUCUUGGUUCACCAGAGUACCUAAAAGAAAACCAUAAUAAUCAGCUGUGUAAAAGUGAUUUUAUAGUACAAAUUGGCUUUCUGGGACUGAGGGAGUAUUUUGAUUGUUAUUUUCUCAGUGGAAUAGAUUGAUGUGACAUCUGAAAUGACAGUCAGGAAUAGAUUCUGAGCUGCCACCUUCAUCUCUUAAUUAGUACAAGUAAUUCUUUUGAACAAAAUAUGGUUAUCAUCGAGUUCAUUUUGUCCCAGUGAGAUUAAAGAGUGCUUGAAUUUCACUUUUUUUUUGUCCCAGGGGUGGGAUAAUCCCUGUAAUUACAUCAUAUUUUCCACUGUUAUUCAUGCAUCAUCUCUAGUGAUACUGGGAUCUUCUGCAGAUCACUUUGAAUAUAUUAGACAAGCCUUGCCAAUACACUUCUCAUUCAGCAGCUGAAGAUUGCUCUAAUGGAAGCUGCUACUUUGAGUGAUAUAAAGUUCCCCUCAUUGCUUGUUAAGUAUAUGAAAAUGCUGUUAAAUGCAGUUUUUCAACCUCUCUAUAUUCAAAAUAUCAUAAAUACUGGGAUUUCAGUGUGUAUAAAGUUGUAGCUAAUUGUUAUUCCCAUUCAUGAAUUUAGUGGUGAAUGUUAGGAAGUUGCACAGUUAAAAAACUGCAUGUGGAAGUAUUCAGCUGGGCUAUAGCUGUCCUGGGGAAAGGACAAUCUGGAGUUCUGUAUACCUUGGGAUGUAUCACAAAUUUAUUUCUCUCUAUUGUAUUAAAUCUGCAACUCAUCAGUAAACACACGAUUGCAGUUGUUGGUCACUCUUCCCUUUGUCUAAGAGAAGCUUGA